UUGCUAAAGCUGUGCUGAGAACCGGGCUGACUCUUGCACCUGGAAAUGCACGCAACGUCUGCAGACACAGAGGAAUAACUUUUCCCUGCAGGUUGAGCUUGUCUAAGCAAGGAAAGGUUGGAGGUGCUGUUUGCUAAUGGAAGAUGGAGAGAGGAAAAUCAAGGGAAAGGCCCGCUGUGCACAGCCGCUGCAUCGCAUCUGUUCCGCUCUGCCCUGCGCAAAGGAGGAGCAGCUCAGCAGGCUUGGCCUGGGACAUGGAAGGGAGCCUACGGACAUCUGGACCGACCCCAAAGGAGCUGGUUCUGCAGCUGUCCCAGUGCUUUGAUCCCUUGCUGCUGGGAUGGGGCGUUUGCAGAAGGAUGCACGUGCUGAUGUCCAGCCAGGCUUUGGGGAUGAGUCUACAUAGCAGGGUAUGUCUGGCAGGACUGAGGCGUGGGGACCAGGCCAGGUCAAAUCCAGUGCACUUUGCUGUCAUUCUUUAGUGCUUGCUUUUGCUCAGGAGGGCGGGUGGUGAACCUUAUGAACCAAUGCCUGCAGACGGGGUUUGCGGAGAAAGAGGUCCUGCAGGCCUGGUGUGGCAGCCACGGAGCUGUAGCGAGGCGGCAUCCGUGUAAAACACCAGAAAUCCACGGGGUGUGAAGGUGAGCUGUGGGCUCCAGUAACACGGGAGGGAAUGUGCAUGCUCGGGGUUUGGGCGCUUCUGUGUGUUUGGAGUGACUGUGACAGCACUGCUCGGUCAGUUUGAGUGUGUGGAACAAGCGUGACAUCCUUUUUGACGGAGUCCUGUGAAA